rnacentral:rRNA from 1 species
AUUGAACGCUGGCGGCAGGCCUAACACAUGCAAGUCGAGCGGAGCGGCGGACGGGUGAGUAAUGCCUAGGAAUCUGCCUGGUAGUGGGGGAUAACGUCCGGAAACGGGCGCUAAUACCGCAUACUAUCAGAUGAGCCUAGGGCGGUUUCGCUAGCUGGUGUGGUAAAGGCCUACCAAGGCGACGAUCCGUAACUGGUCUGAGAGGCGGAUCAGUCACACUGGAACUGUGACACGGUCCAGACUCCUACGUGAGGCACCAGUGGGGGAUAUUGGAGAAUGGGCGCAAGCCUGAUCCAGCCAUGCCGCGUGUGUGAAGAAGGGCUUCGGAUUGUAAAGCACUUUAAGUUGGGAGGCGUUACCAACAGAAUAAGCACCGGCUAACUUCGUGCCAGCAGCCGCGGUAAUAC